AUCCAGCUGAUGAGUCCCAAAUAGGACGAAACACGCUUCAAACUGUAU
rnacentral:hammerhead_ribozyme from 1 species